AGAGUUUGAUCCUGGCUCAGAGUGAACGCUGGCGGCGUGGAUUAGGCAUGCAAGUCGAGCGAUGACCCAGAUAGAGAGAUCUUGAGCCCGUAAGGGCGAUAGGUCAAUUUGUCUGGAAUCAUAGCGGCAGACCGGUGAGUAACGCGUGAGUAAUUUGCCUCUAAAUCGGGGAUAGCAUUGCGAAAGCGGUGGUAAUACCCGAUGUGGUUACCGUAUCAUAAGGUAUGGUAUCUAAAGGCCUUCGUAAGAAGGCCGUUUGGAGAUAAGCUCGCGUCCUAUCAGCUUGUUGGUAGGGUAACGGCCUACCAAGGCAACGACGGGUAGCUGGCCUGAGAGGGUGGUCAGCCACACGGGGACUGAGACACUGCCCCGACUCCUACGGGAGGCUGCAGUCGAGGAUCUUUAGCAAUGGGCGAAAGCCUGACUAUGCGACGCCGCGUGAGGGAUGAAGGUUUUCGGAUCGUAAACCUCUUUCGAUGGGAAAGAAUGUCUCCGCAAGGAGAUUGACGGUACCUAGAGAAGAAGCCACGGCCAACUUCGUGCCAGCAGCCGCGGUAAUACGAGGGUGGCGAGCGUUACUCGGAUUUAUUGGGUGUAAAGGGCAGGCAGGCGUUCCGCCAAGUUAGGAGUGAAAUCCUUUGGCUCAACCAAAGAACUGCUUCUAAAACUGGCGGAGUUGAGGAUAGAAGAGGAGAGCGGAAUUCCCGGUGUAAGGGUGAAAUCUGUAGAUAUCGGGAGGAACACCUGUGGCGAAAGCGGCUCUCUGGUCUAUCCCUGACGCUGAUCUGCGAAAGCUAGGGGAGCAAACAGGAUUAGAUACCCUGGUAGUCCUAGCUGUAAACGAUGAGCACUAGGUGUUGGGGGUUAAACCCUCAGCGCCGUAAGCAAACGCGUUAAGUGCUCCACCUGGGGACUACGGCCGCAAGGCUAAACUCAAAGGAAUUGACGGGGGCCCGCACAAGCGGUGGAACAUGUGGUUCAAUCGGAUGCUACGCCAAGAACCUCACCUGGGCUUGACAUGCAGGAAGUAGGAACCCGAAAGGGGGACCACCUGUCAAGUCAGGAGCCUGCACAGGUGUUGCAUGGCUGUCGUCAGCUCGUGUCGUGAGAUGUUGGGUUAAGUCCCGCAACGAGCGCAACCAUCAUCCUUAGUUGCCACUUCCAAAGCCGCAAGGUAGAGGAAAGCACUCUAAGGAGACUGCCCGGGAUAACCGGGAGGAAGGUGGAGAUGACGUCAAGUCAGUACGGCCUUUAUGCCCAGGGCUACACACGUGUUACAAUGCCAGUUACAAAGCGUCGCCAAACCGCGAGGUGGAGCUAAUCGCAAAAAAAACUGGCUCAGUUCAGAUUGGAGUCUGCAAUCCGACUCCAUGAAGCCGGAAUCGCUAGUAAUGGCGGAUCAGCUAUGCCGCCGUGAAUACGUUCCCGGGCCUUGUACACACCGCCCGUCAAGCGAUGGGAGCUGGGGGUACCUGAAGUCCUACCUAUGGUAGGCCUAGGGUAAAACUGGUGAC
rnacentral:rRNA from 1 species